UACGUAGGGUGCAAGCGUUAAUCGGAAUUACUGGGCGUAAAGCGUGCGCAGGCGGUUUUGUAAGACCGAUGUGAAAUCCCCGGGCUUAACCUGGGAACUGCAUUGGUGACUGCAAGGCUUGAGUGUGUCAGAGGGAGGUGGAAUUCCGCGUGUAGCAGUGAAAUGCGUAGAUAUGCGGAGGAACACCAAUAGCGAAGGCAGCUCGCUGGGACGUUACUGACACUGAGGCGCGAAAGCGUGGGGAGCGAACAGG
rnacentral:rRNA from 1 species